GUAGUACGAAGACAUAAAGCCUAGAGUAAAAACACUUGACACGUGAUCUGCAAAUAAAAGAAGCAGAUAAAAAGGUUAAAAUACGCAGUUUAUAAGUCAUUUGGAUUUAGAUUAAGUUAGCCUCUCUUAGUUCUCUUGAACGUGUGUCAAACAGCCACAAAAGUUCUCUGUAACUUGAGGUGAUAUUCAACACGAACCUUGUUGGUCCAGGAAAGAGUGUCCCAUCUGAAUCUAAGAUUUUUUGAACAACUACAAAAACACAGCAAAAUGAAGAUGUUUUGUGUGAAAUGUAACAAAGAAACCGAAUGUGAUGUGGAUCCCACGAUUCCGGAAACCGAUAACCCGAAAAGACAGAACACAGUAAGAGUUACGGGAACUUGUAAGGAAUGCGGCUCCAAGACCUCUAAAAUCGUCGGUUAAUAGAGAGAUUCUUUAUCAGUUUAUAUAUUUUUUAUUCUGCAUUGUAUCAGUGCAACUUUUUUUUUAUAUGUAUUAAAUACUUUGAAGUAA